rnacentral:lncRNA from 1 species
CAGAUGCGUCUAUCUCCUCCGGAACCCACGGGCAAUAUUCCAUCUUGCAGACCGCGAAACUUCUUCCAGGAGCACCUCAGCAACCGCCCAAGGCUCGAACUGGAAUAAGUAAACCUUACAACGUCAAACAGAUCAAAACCACCAAUGCUCAGGAGGCGGAAGCAGCUAUCCGGUGUCUCCUGGAAGCUGGCGGAGGUGUCCCAGAGUCAGCCCCGGGUGCCACGCCCCUGAGAAACCAAGGGUCUUCUAAGCCAGAGGCCUCCCUGGGGCCUCCAGUCCUACCGCGCCGGCCUGUUCCAAGGGUUCCCACUAUGAAGAAACCAACUUUGAGGAGAACAGGAAAGGUAAGAAGCCAAGCCGUGUGAGCCGCCCAUUCUAAGG